CAGCCGCCACGGUAAUACGUAGGUGGCAAGCGUUGUCCGGAAUUAUUGGGCGUAAAGCGCGCGCAGGUGGUUUAAUAAGUCUGAUGUGAAAGCCCACAGCUCAACCGUGGAGGAUCAUUGGAAACUGUUAAACUUGAGUGCAGGAGAGAAAAGUGGAAUUCCUAGUGUAGCGGUGAAAUGCGUAGAGAUUAGGAGGAACACCAGUGGCGAAGGCGGCUUUUUGGCCUGUAACUGGCACUGAGGCGCGAAAGCGUGGGGAGCAAACAGGAUUAGAUACCCCCGUAGUCCCUGUCUCUUAUAC
rnacentral:rRNA from 1 species